AUGAGUGGAGCUUGCUCCAUGAUUCAGCGGCGGACGGGUGAGUAAUGCCUAGGAAUCUGCCUGGUAGUGGGGGACAACGUUUCGAAAGGAACGCUAAUACCGCAUACGUCCUACGGGAGAAAGUGGGGGAUCUUCGGACCUCACGCUAUCAGAUGAGCCUAGGUCGGAUUAGCUAGUUGGCGAGGUAAAGGCUCACCAAGGCGACGAUCCGUAACUGGUCUGAGAGGAUGAUCAGUCACACUGGAACUGAGACACGGUCCAGACUCCUACGGGAGGCAGCAGUGGGGAAUAUUGGACAAUGGGCGAAAGCCUGAUCCAGCCAUGCCGCGUGUGUGAAGAAGGUCUUCGGAUUGUAAAGCACUUUAAGUUGGGAGGAAGGGCAGUAAGUUAAUACCUUGCUGUUUUGACGUUACCGACAGAAUAAGCACCGGCUAACUUCGUGCCAGCAGCCGCGGUAAUACGAAGGGUGCAAGCGUUAAUCGGAAUUACUGGGCGUAAAGCGCGCGUAGGUGGUUCGUUAAGUUGGAUGUGAAAGCCCCGGGCUCAACCUGGGAACUGCAUCCAAAACUGGCGAGCUAGAGU
rnacentral:rRNA from 1 species